AGAACGAACGCUGGCGGCAUGCCUAACACAUGCAAGUCGAACGAAGCCUUCGGGCUUAGUGGCGCACGGGUGCGUAACGCGUGGGAACCUGCUUUUAGGUUCGGAAUAACAGUGAGAAAUUGCUGCUAAUACCGAAUAAUGUCUUCGGACCAAAGAUUUAUCGCCUUUAGAUGGGCCCGCGUUGGAUUAGCUAGUUGGUGGGGUAAAGCCUACCAAGGCGACGAUCCAUAGCUGGUCUUAGAGGAUGAUCAGCCACACUGGGACUGAGACACGGCCCAGACUCCUACGGGAGGCAGCAGUGGGGAAUAGUUGGACAAGUGGGCGAAAGCCUGAUCCAGCAAUGCCGCGUGAGUGAUGAACGGCCGUUAGGGUUGUAAGCUUCUUUUACCGAGGUAUGUAUAAUGACAGUACUGGAAGAAUAAGCUCGACUACGUCCGUGACCCAGCGAACGCCGACGGUAACUCGUAGACGCGGGUCU
rnacentral:rRNA from 1 species